UACAGAGGUCCCAAGCGUUGUUGGGAUUCACUGGGCGUAAAGGGUGCGUAGGCGGUAGGGUAAGUCUGAUGUGAAAUCCCGCAGCUUAACUGCGGAACUGCGUUGGAAACUAUUUUACUAGAGGAAUGGAGGGGAGACUGGAAUACUUGGUGUAGCAGUGAAAUGCGUAGAUAUCAAGUGGACCACCAGUGGCGAAGGCGAGUCUCUGGACAUUUCCUAACGCUGAGGCACGAAAGCCAGGGGAGCAAACGGG
rnacentral:rRNA from 1 species